rnacentral:tRNA from 1 species
UGCCGGGGUGGCGGAACUGGUAGACGCGCCGGUCUCAAAAACCGGUGAGGGUGACCUCAUGCCGGUUCGAUUCCGGCCCUCGGCAU